AUUUUCUUAAAAAGAGGCAGGAGGAAAAGAAGAGCUGUCCAUGCCCCUGCUAAGGAGACUGACAUUAUGAGAACUAUGCAUAAGUGGACUCGAAGCACACACAGCAGGCAUCUGGAAUGGAUUCCCUGUCACCAACAAAGUGACUUGUUCAAAAAGUGCAAGCUGGACUUGUAUUGAAUUACCAAAUGAAUAAAGGUUCCAAAAAGAUUUUUUCAGCUAUACCAUCAU